CACGUAGGCACCAAGCGUUGUCCGGAUUUAUUGGGCGUAAAGAGCUUGUAGGCGGUUCGGUUAGUCGGGUGUGAAACCUCUGGCUCAACUCAGAGACGCCACCCGAUACUGCUGUGACUAGAGUGCGGUAGGGGAGCGGGGAAUUCCUGGUGUAGCGGUGAAAUGCGCAGAUAUCAGGAGGAACACCGAUGGCGAAGGCAGGUCUCUGGGCAUUAACUGACGCUGGAGGA
rnacentral:rRNA from 1 species